CAAGGCGGAGUGAGGGUUUCUAUCCCUCUGGAAAGUUUCCUCGGUGCCCUUUUCGGGCAGUCCGCCUCGCCCCCUACCAGCAGUGGAUCAACAGUGGGUUUUUGAAAUGAGAGAUAGACAGAUAAGAUGGGGGGGGGGCUGAUUUGUCAUGCGUGGCCUUUGCCCUCCCCCGUGGUGUAGACAUUUCCACUGUGGCCACUUUUCGGCUACCAGGAAGCUGGAAAGGAAGGUAGCAAUCAGCGUGCACGAGACAGGACGAGCUGGCUGCAGCCCACGACUCCCCUACGGACGCCCUAGCUUCUGGUUUCUAUCCCCCUAGAUUACUUCUGCGUGUUCUAGAGCUUGGUGGAAAGGGACCUGUGCCGCCUGCACGCUACCGUGACCGCCUUCUUCUCACAGCAUGCUGCAUUCAUUCACGCCGCCACGUCUAACGGGGCAAUUAAAAAAAAAUCUCAGGGCUUGGCAAGAUCAGAUGGGUGUGUGCAGAUUUUCCCCUCAAGGUUGGCAUCCUAGACGACCUUCGAUUUGUGGAGGCACUUACUGAAUGACAACUAGGGACACGAUGAUAAACUGAGACGGAUGUCGGAUGCCCCAAAGAGCAGGAGAUCGCAGGAAUGAAUGCAACAUAAAGAUAAGUGUUGUUCAAUCCUGCCAAAUGUGGGGGUGCGUAGGCCGGGCGACCUUUCCAGUGUUGUCCAACCUGGCGAGCGGCGGCGGGAGGUGUGGGGGACCGGCCUGCUGCUGGAAGGGAGUUCUGGGCACAAGUUCAUAGCGCGUCCCAGUGCAAGAGGCGGGACACGGGACUUUCCGACACCCUUCUCAUGCGUGGGUGCGCUUGGCCUCUAAUUGGUGGGCUUCUCCCUGUGCCCGAACUCCUGGGCCCGUCCCUCCAAUCAAACGCCAAUCCUGAUCAGAUUCUCCCUGGGAUUAAAGAUUAACCCCCAUGUUUGGCCUUGCAGGAGGCUUAUAUAACCUUCUAGGUCAAUCGUCACACUUUUCCGGACGGGGUCUCAGAGGGGAGACGCGAUGUGGUGUCCCGGCUAAGCAUACUGUGCCGAGCUGGGGUGGGGGGGGGGGGGGCGCUGAGGUCCCGGGGCACGCAGGCCAGAAAGCCACCCGGCACGAAAGGGGAGAGUAAGUUAAGGGCCGAUGAGACCUGAGGCUGGUGUCCCAAGU